rnacentral:rRNA from 1 species
AUGGCCGGCUCCACCGCGGUGCUGGCCGCCAUCCUGCUCAUCGACCUCGUCGCCUUCGGCCUCGCCAUCGGCGCCGAGCAGAGCCGCCCAUCGGCGAGCCUGGAGACGGACGCGAGGAAGGAGUGGACCUACUGCGUGUACCGCCCGGACGCGGCCACCGGGAUGGCCGGCGCCGCGCUCGCCCUGCUGCUCGUCGGCCAGGCCGUGGCCGCCGUCGCCAGCCGCUGCUUCUGCUGCGGCGCCGCGCUCCGGCCCGGCGGCGCCCGCGGCUGCGCCCUCAUGCUCUUCCUCUCCUCCUGGCUGACAUUUCUCAUUGCGGAGGCGUGCUUGCUGGCUGGGCUGGUGCAGUCCGCCUACCACACCGGCUACCGCACGGUGAUAUUUGAAAACCCGCCCGACUGUGAGACGGUGCGUCGAGGCACAUUUGGGGCCGGCGCGGCCUUUGCCUUGAUCACCGGUGUGCUCACCGGGUUCUACUACUACAACUUCUCCAAGGCACGGGUGGCCUACCAACGCCCGGAGGCCGCCAUCGACAUGAGCCGGUAUAGCUGA